UACGUAGGUGGCAAGCGUUGUCCGGAAUUACUGGGCGUAAAGCGCGUGUAGGCGGCUUGGCAAGUCGGGUGUGAAAGCCCUCAGCUCAACUGAGGAAGUGCGCCCGAAACUGCUGAGCUCGAGUGCCGGGAGAGGAUGGCGGAAUUCCCCAAGUAGAGGUGAAAUUCGUAGAUAUGGGGAGGAACACCGGUGGCGAAGGCGGCCAUCUGGACGGUGACUGACGCUGAGACGCGAAAGCGUGGGGAGCAAACAGG
rnacentral:rRNA from 1 species